UACUUUCAGUGCCCGAGUUGUAAUUUGUAGAAUUUGUCUUUGAUUAGGUCCUUGUCUAUGUUCCUUGGAACAGGACGUCAUAGAGGGUGAGAAUCCCGUUUGGCGAGGAUACCUUUUCUCUGUAAGACUUUUUCGAAGAGUCGAGUUGUUUGGGAAUGCAGCUCAAAGUGGGUGGUAAAUUCCAUCUAAAGCUAAAUAUUGGCGAGAGACCGAUAGCGAACAAGUACAGUGAUGGAAAGAUGAAAAGAACUUUGAAAAGAGAGUGAAAAAGUACGUGAAAUUGUUGAAAGGGAAGGGCAUUUGAUCAGACAUGGUGUUUUUUGCAUGCACUCGCCUCUCGUGGGCUUGGGCCUCUCAAAAAUUUCACUGGGCCAACAUCAAUUCUGGCAGUAGGAUAAAUCAUUAAGAAUGUAGCUACCUCGGUAGUGUUAUAGCUUAUUGGAAUACUGCUAGCUGGGAUUGAGGACUGCGCUUCGGCAAGGAUGUUG
rnacentral:rRNA from 1 species